UACGGAGGGGGCUAGCGUUGUUCGGAAUUACUGGGCGUAAAGCGCUCGUAGGCGGCUUUGCAAGUUAGAGGUGAAAGCCCGGGGCUCAACUCCGGAAUUGCCUUUAAAACUGCAUCGCUAGAGUUGUGGAGAGGUAAGUGGAAUUCCGAGUGUAGAGGUGAAAUUCGUAGAUAUUCGGAAGAACACCAGUGGCGAAGGCGACUUACUGGACACAUACUGACGCUGAGGUGCGAAAGCGUGGGGAGCAAACAGG
rnacentral:rRNA from 1 species